CGGUCCAGCGGCCGCGCCUCCUUCCUUUCCUUCCUCGCCCGCCGCCGGCCAGGGCUGCUGCGCCCGGGUCUCCCAGCUAUCCGGCAUGGCAGCGCCCGGAGCUGCCGCCACGUGUGGGGAGAAGCUGGGUAUGUGACCCCGGACAGGGAAGAUAAUGAAAAUCUGAAAAGGGCAAGAAAAGCAAGCAUGCAAAAUCAGAAACUUGCUUCUUGCUCUGAGAGGGUAUCAUAACUGGUCUGCAGCUUAUGCAUCCAUAAGGGAAACAAUGUAAACCAAGAGUCUCAGCGGAGCAAAGAGCUUUCUGCAAAAUGAAGACUUGACAGUUACAGAUAAAAGCUUCUCAGUUGGACUGAUCAUUGCAGGAGUGAGGCUAGUGGGGGCAGCAGUAGUUGCCUGAAGAGAAGAGAGGAACUGUUGCUAUUGCUUUAAAGAGUGACUGCCAAGAUAUUUAGAGAGGUGGGAAUGAGCAUGUGAGUAGUCCCAUGCCUUGAAUGGGACUGUUCCUGUGCAGAAGCGUUUGCAGGGUUGGAGUCUAGUAAGAUAAAACAUGAAAGGUGGGGAGAAGGAUGACAUGGAUUGUUGGUUUGCUCUCACCCUUUUUGUUAAAAUUGUACUUAAAAAUAAAUUCUAGGCUUAUUUUGUUCCA